rnacentral:rRNA from 1 species
UACGGGGGGGGCAAGCGUUGUUCGGAAUUACUGGGCAUAAAGGGCGUGUAGGCGGCCAACUAAGUCCGACGUGAAAUCCCCAGGCUUAACCUGGGAACUGCGUCGGAUACUGGAUGGCUUGAAUCCGGGAGAGGGAUGCAGAAUUCCAGGUGUAGCGGUGAAAUGCGUAGAUAUCUGGAGGAAUACCGGUGGCGAAGGCGGCAUCCUGGACCGGCAUUGACGCUGAAGCGCGAAAGCUAGGGGAGCAAACGGG